GUGGGGUAGUGGCCUACCAAGGCGACGACGGGUAGCCGGCCUGAGAGGGUGACCGGCCACACUGGGACUGAGACACGGCCCAGACUCCUACGGGAGGCAGCAGUGGGGAAUCUUGCGCAAUGGGCGAAAGCCUGACGCAGCAACGCCGCGUGGGGGAUGACGGCCUUCGGGUUGUAGACCUCUUUCGACAUCGACGAAGCCUUCGGGUGGCGGUAGGUGUAUAAGAAGCACCGGCUAACUACGUGCCAGCAGCCGCGGUAAUACGUAGGGUGCGAGCGUUGUCCGGAUUUAUUGGGCGUAAAGAGCUCGUAGGCGGUCUGUCGCGUCUAUCGUGAAAACCGGGAGCUUAACUCCUGGCUUGCGGUGGAUACAGGCAGACUUGAGUUCGGUAGGGGAGACUGGAAUUCCUGGUGUAGCGGUGAAAUGCGCAGAUAUCAGGAGGAACACCGGUGGCGAAGGCGGGUCUCUGGGCCGAUACUGACGCUGAGGAGCGAAAGCGUGGGGAGCAAAUAGGAUUAGAUACCCUGGUAGUCCACGCCGUAAACGUUGGGCGCUAGGUGUGGGGAUGGGUUCCACUGUCUCCGUGCCGUAGCUAACGCAUUAAGCG
rnacentral:rRNA from 1 species